AGUCACCAUGGAGUCUAAGAAGUAUAUAAUGGCUCCUUAUCCUCUGGCAACCAGUCUCGUCUUCCUCUCUCUCCUUCUGAGCUUGGAUCUAAGUUCGUUAAUGGCGUCUCAGAUCUGAACUUUCUUCUUACAAGAGGACGAUUCUCACUCUAUUUCACCAAUGACGUUCUAUUCCUUCCCGGAAGAGGUCUGGGAGCAUGUAUUCUCGUUCAUUAACUCUGAUAGAGACCGAAAUGCGGUGUCUUUGGUCUGCAAAUCUUGGUACGAGAUCGAACGUUGGAGUAGGAGGCGGGUUUUUGUGGGGAACUGUUAUGCUGUCAGUCCUUCUAUCGUCAUUAAACGAUUUCCGAAGGUCAGAUCCGUUGAGCUAAAGGGUAAACCACAUUUUGCUGAUUUCAAUUUGGUGCCUGAUGGAUGGGGAGGCUAUGUUUUUCCUUGGGUUGAAGCAAUGGCGAAAGCUUAUCCAUGGUUGGAGGAGAUUAGGUUGAAGAGAAUGGUUGUGACUGACGAGGCGUUGGAAUUGAUCUCUGGGUCUUUCAAGAACUUCAAAGUUUUGGUCUUGCAUACUUGUGAGGGGUUUUCAAAUUUUGGACUCGCUUCACUUGCUACAAGUUGCAGGAAAUUGGAAGUUCUAGAGUUGCGUGAAUGUGAUGUGGAUGACUAUGGUGGACGAUGGCUCAGCAAAUUCCCAAAUAACUGCACAUCACUUGUCACUCUUAACAUUUCUUGCCUCAGCUCUCAGUGGAAAUUAUCCGAUCUAGAUCUCUUGGAGCGUCUUGUGGCUAGGAGUCCUAACUUGAAAAGUUUGCUGCUCAACCGUGCUGUGCCAAUUGAGAGACUCACUACCAUAAUCCGACAAGCUCCUCAUCUAAUUGAGUUGGGAACUGGUGCAUUUCCAGAUGAAGUUCGAGCUGAUAUUUUGUCAGGCCUCGAAAAAGCUUUCUCGGGCUGCAAGGAACUUAAAGCCCUUUCAGGGUUUUGGGAUGUAGUUCCAAUGUUCCUUCCUGCUGUUUAUUCUAUCUGCUCUCAGCUUACUUCACUAAACUUAAGCUCCGCUAGGAUCCAAGGCCCUGAUCUCGGGAAGCUUGUUGGCCAGUGUCGUAAUUUGCAUCGUUUAUGGGUACUUGAUUAUAUUGAAGACAGUGGUCUGGAAAUGAUUGCUGAAUGUUGCAAGAAUCUGCAAGAGCUGAGAGUAUUCCCUUCAGAACCGUAUCUUCGAGAACCAAAUGCAUCCUUAACAGAACGAGGCUUAGUCUCAGUAUCAGAGGGCUGCCCGAAUCUUCGGUCAGUUCUAUACUUCUGCCGCCAAAUGACAAAUGCAGCCUUAGUAACAAUUUCCAACAACCGCCCGAACUUGACCCAUUUCCGUCUCUGCAUUCUCCAGCCACGCACUCCCGAUUACCUAACCCUUGAACCAUUGGAUGACGGUUUUGGAUCAAUUGUUAGGCACUGCAAAUCGCUCAGACGGCUCUCACUCUCUGGCCUCCUUACUGAUCGUGUUUUCAUGCACAUUGGUGCUCAUGCGAAGAAAUUGGAGAUGCUUUCAGUCGCUUUUGCUGGGGAUAGUGAUCUUGGUCUCCAUUAUUUACUUUCAGGAUGUGAAAGCCUAAGGAAACUCGAAAUUAGAGACUGCCCUUUUGGGGAUAAGGCCCUCUUGGCAAAUGCUGGAAAGCUGGAAACAAUGCGAUCCCUUUGGAUGUCUUCUUGCCCGGUGAGUUUUGCAACUUGUAAGCUACUCGGUCAGAAGAUGCCUAGGCUUAAUGUCGAGGUUAUGGACGAGAGAGGGCCUCCAACUUCAAGACCUGAAAGCUGUCAUGUAGAGAAGCUCUACAUAUACAGGACGGUUGCAGGUCCAAGGUUCGACAUGCUGGAAUCUGUGUGGUUGAUGGAUCAUUGUAAGAAUGAACAAUUAACAUCGAAGCUGUCUUGAGAUGAUCUACCAAAAAUCAAAUAAAGCAGGUAUUAAGGAAUUUUGCUAGAACUUCCUUAACAAAUAACAAAGCAUGUGCAUAUUGCAAGCAAUUCCAGCUGAAAUGAGUCUAUUAUUGAUGGAUGGGAAAAGGGGAAUGAAGGAAGAAAAGACUAUCACAUUUCAAGGAAAUCAAUGCAUUAAUCUGAAUAACCAAGGGAAAUGGGAUGCUGUUUGAAACUAGUGAAUACUUUUUUGACUGAGUUUAACUUAUAUGGAAAAGUGGAGCAAAAUUUGAAUUUUCCUUUGCCUGAAGCAGUAGCAGCACCUAGUGAAGUGUGUGUUUGUACUCAUAUCAGCUUUCAUUAUUCAUGUCUAAGUAAGUAGUAGUACUCUAUUGAUGCCCUCCUCCAUUCCUUUGCAUUUGCAGAUGGAAUUUGGUUCUAGUACAAUAAUUCAAAUGUGCUGUAUUUUCCUCUA